rnacentral:rRNA from 1 species
GUGUCAGCAGCCGCGGUAAUACGAACUGUGCAAACGUUAUUCGGAAUCACUGGGCUUAAAGGGUGCGUAGGCGGCCGUUUAGGUAGGGUGUGAAAGCCUGCAGCUCAACUGCAGAAUUGCGCUCUAAACCGGACGGCUUGAGUGAGAUAGGGGUGUGUGGAACUUCCGGUGGAGCGGUGAAAUGUGUUGAUAUCGGAAGGAACGCCGGUGGCGAAAGCGACACACUGGGUCUCAACUGACGCUGAGGCACGAAAGCCAGGGGAGCGAACGGGAUUAGAUACCCCGGUAGUCC